UGUUUCAGGAGAACUACGUACUGAAAUU
rnacentral:piRNA from 1 species